rnacentral:rRNA from 1 species
CCUACGGGCGGCAGCAGUAGGGAAUAUUGCUCAAUGGAGGAAACCCUGAAGCAGCCACGCCGCGUGGAGGAUGAAGGUUUUCGGAUUGUAAACUCCUUUUGUUAGAGAAGAUAAUGCCGGUAUCUAACGCAUAAGCACCGGCUAACUCCGUGCCAGCAGCCGCGGUAAUACGGAGGGUGCAAGCGUUACCCGGAAUCACUGGGCGUAAAGGGGGCGUAGGCGGGAUAGUAAGUCAGAUGUGAAAUCCUAUGGCUUAACCAUAGAACUGCAUUUGAAACUGUUAGUCUAGAGUGUGGGAGAGGUAGGUGGAAUGCUUGGUGUAGCGGUAAAAUGCGUAGAGAUCA